rnacentral:tRNA from 1 species
GGCCUCUUAGUCUAAGGGUUAGGACGAUAGCCUCUCAUGCUAUAAAUACGGGUUCGAAUCCCGUAGAGGUCA